CACGGAAAUGACUCAAAUUUACCAGUUCAAAACGCUUUGUUUUUUUGUUUUGUUUUUGUCGAUCGGAGACGCCGUGAACUGAAAGCGGAAACGCCUGAGAUAAGGAGUGAAGAUUUGCAGGUUGUAUAAUUGCAGGCGCUCCAUGUGUGCCCUUCUCAUUGCGGCAAAGGCCAGAAAUGUACUCUACGCAGAUAUACUGUAGGACAUGACAUUUGCAGCCUAGCAAAUUGCCUAGAAAAAACAAAAACGUUCAAGAACUGAACAAAGAUGGCAGCAUAAUGGCAUUUGAAGAGGUGCAUGCAAGCUGCUUCCGUGGCCCCCGGAGAGAGGAACGUAAGGCGGAGGGUGAGGCAUCCCAAAAUAUGAGGAUAAAUCGCAGGUAAUCCUGCAGGACCGGCGCCCUGGUAAUCAACACUCUUCCAACUGGAAACAUUUUACAAUUCUUCAUCUUAAUUUAACUUCUCUCCUUUUUUUUCUGCCGUUCCUUUACCUGGUAAUUCUUAGCAGCGGGUGCAAUCAUUUGCACUGGCGUUUGAAAGGAGAGGCUGCAGAAACGUGAAAUGGAGAGCUUUUAAAAGGGGGGGAGGGGGCGAUAAGCAAAUCAAAUUAAUGACAAUGAGUGUUUGUGGAGAGAAGGCAGGCAGAGAGCUUGUUUGAGCCCAUCGUGCGUGCCAUGUUAAACACUUCACUCGCCGUGGAGGGGCUAAUCCAGUCUCCGACAGCUAGCUGAUUAUACGAAUAAACUACACUCGCUCGCCGCCGAGAGAAAGGAGCAUCCCUCAUUAACGUUCAAGCUCACUCCAACAAGGAAGUAAUUAAGACGCCACCCCUUCCCCCCCGCAAACCCCCCAAAAAAGGAGGAAUGAUUUUAAGUGUUGUCUAAUAGACCGGCUUGAAGGUGUUUAUUUUAUAUUGUCUCAGUGCAGAAGUCAUUAUGCGGCUGAAGAAGGGCUUACAGGGAGCUAAACGCAGCGCAGCAAGGCGAGGCGAGUUUGUGGUUGUUGAGUAAAGUCAGAUGGCUCGGGGCUCGCCUGCGACACUCGCUCUGCGAUGCGCUCCAGAGUUGCAGGAGCAUAUGAACUGUCGCUUGUUGUUUUAAAUAAUAGAUUGCCUCCCCUAAUUUCCUGCCUGAUAUUUUUGGCAGAGUCAAGAGUCUUUUGGAUGGGCAGCAUCUGUCAGACCUCGGCGCAGGCCAAGAAAACAUUCCCCAUCCGAGCUGUAAGAGAAAAAAAGCUCAUGUUAAGCUUGAAUAUUGCGACAGUCGGCCACCGGCUCUGCAGGUUACGUGUGCUUCAGGAGGCUGGUGAAACAGAACUUUUAAUAGAUUUCAAGAAGUUUCCAGUCCUCUUUGAACACUUUUAUCAUUGGUUUUAGUUUUGUGUGGAUCGCGUGUGCGAUUGAGGGUUAAGUAGUUUAACAGUGAUUACAGUGGAGUGAUAUUUGAUUAUUAUCUCCUGGAAUGGCAACUCCUCCGGCUUUCUGUUCUCUUAACAAUAGUUUAAUUGUUAGUUUGGACACCCACUCAAUAGACAGGCAAAAUGAAGAGCAGUAAUGGAAAAGAAUUAUGGGGGGAAUGGCAUAAAAUGAAUGCAGUUAUAAAAGCACCUGCAUGUCUUGUUUUUUUUUUUUAUUUUUUUUUUAUGAAAUAUAUUUUGAUUAGCCAUGAAGAGCGUCUUUACCAUGACCCGUUCAAUCAAUAACACAUGCUGGAAUUUGUAAAGCACCUUCGCAGAGCUUUAUUUAUAAUAUAUAUAGUUAUAGUGUAUGUGUGUGUAUAUAUAUAUAUAUACAC